UGAACGCUGGCGGCAGGCCUAACACAUGCAAGUCGAGCGCGAAAACACCUCGGUGUGAGUAGAGCGGCGGACGGGUGAGUAAUGCUUGGGAAUCUGCCCAGUAGUGGGGGAUAACGUGUGGAAACGCACGCUAAUACCGCAUACGUCCUACGGGAGAAAGCAGGGGAUCUUCGGACCUUGCGCUAUUGGAUGAGCCCAAGUCAGAUUAGCUAGUUGGUGAGGUAAUGGCUCACCAAGGCGACGAUCUGUAGCUGGUCUGAGAGGAUGAUCAGCCACACUGGGACUGAGACACGGCCCAGACUCCUACGGGAGGCAGCAGUGGGGAAUAUUGCACAAUGGGCGAAAGCCUGAUGCAGCCAUGCCGCGUGUGUGAAGAAGGCUCUAGGGUUGUAAAGCACUUUCAGUGGGGAGGAAAAGUUUAAGAUUAAUAAUCUUGAACCUUGACGUUACCUGCAGAAGAAGCACCGGCAAACUCCGUGCCAGCAGCCGCGGUAAUACGGAGGGUGCGAGCGUUAAUCGGAAUUACUGGGCGUAAGGCGCGCGUAGGUGGUUUGAUAAGCUAGCUGUGAAAGCCCCGGGCUCAACCUGGGAACUGCAGUUAGAACUGUCUGGGCUAGAGUAUAGUAGAGGGGUGGCGGGAAUUUCCUGUGUAGCGGUGAAAUGCGUAGAUAUAGGAAGGAACAUCAGUGGCGAAGGCGGCCACCUGGACUAAUACUGACACUGAGGUGCGAAAGCGUGGGGGAGCAAACAGGAUUAGAUACCCUGGUAGUCCACGCCGUAAACGAUGUCUACUAGCCGUUGGGAGACUUGAUCUCUUAGUGGCGCAGUUAACGCGAUAAGUAGACCGCCUGGGGAGUACGGCCGCAAGGUUAAAACUCAAAUGAAUUGACGGGGGCCCGCACAAGCGGUGGAGCAUGUGGUUUAAUUCGACGCAACGCGAAGAACCUUACCAGGUCUUGACAUCCUGCGAACUUUCUAGAGAUAGAUUGGUGCCUUCGGGAACGCAGUGACAGGUGCUGCAUGGCUGUCGUCAGCUCGUGUCGUGAGAUGUUGGGUUAAGUCCCGUAACGAGCGCAACCCUUGUCCUUAGUUGCCAGCACAUAAUGGUGGGAACUCUAAGGAGACUGCCGGUGACAAACCGGAGGAAGGUGGGGACGACGUCAAGUCAUCAUGGCCCUUACGACCUGGGCUACACACGUGCUACAAUGGCCAGUACAGAGGGCUGCAAACCCGCGAGGGGGAGCUAAUCUCACAAAGCUGGUCGUAGUCCGGAUCGCAGUCUGCAACUCGACUGCGUGAAGUUGGAAUCGCUAGUAAUCGUGAAUCAGAAUGUCACGGUGAAUACGUUCCCGGGCCUUGUACACACCGCCCGUCA
rnacentral:rRNA from 1 species